CACGACUGAGAAGCCAGACUUGAAUCGAGUCAGAUCGUGCUUUAUGGAGCAGAGCCAGCUGAGGCACAAUUUUUCCAACAGGCAAAGUUGGCCCCGAGUUCCCUCGCAACUCCCGUCUGCACCUAUCCUUCUUCUUCUUAUCAAGCACCCUCCAGUUAUUAUUCCCCAGCUGCCAGCUCUGCAGAGGUACAGCAACUUCAGGUUCGCCAUCAGACCAGACAAAAGGAUAACAGUCUUCCUUAGACUUCUUCACCAGCUCCCACAGUUGCAUAAGAUCGAAUAAUAAACCCCC
rnacentral:lncRNA from 1 species